AAAGGAAUUGACGGGGGCCCGCACAAGCGGUGGAGCAUGUGGCUUAAUUCGAGGCAACGCGAAGAACCUUACCCGGAUUUGACAUAUAUAGGAAUGUGAUGGAAACAUUACAGCUCGCAAGAGUCGAUAUACAGGUGCUGCAUGGCUGUCGUCAGCUCGUGCCGUGAGGUGUUCGGUUAAGUCCGGCAACGAGCGCAACCCAUGUCAUCAGUUGCUACCAGGUAAAGCUGGGCACUCCGAUGAGACUGCCCGUGUUAAGCGGGAGGAAGGCGUGGAUGACGUCAAGUCCGUAUGGCCUUUAUAUCCGGGGCUGCACACGUGCUACAAUGGUCGGUACAGAAGGAAGCGAAGCCGCGAGGCGGAGCAGAUCCCCAAAACCGUACCUUAGUUCAGAUUGCAGUCUGCAACUCGACUGCAUGAAGCCGGAAUCGCUAGUAAAGGCGUAUCAGCUACGACGCCUUGAAUACGUUCCCGGGCCUUGUACACACCGCCCGU
rnacentral:rRNA from 1 species